rnacentral:misc_RNA from 1 species
GAGCUUUUCGCUGGAAAAGUAUUGGAGUCUCAAGCUUGUCUGAGGGAGAAAAAAGUGAUGGAAUUGGUAGAAUUCUUGAGGUCAAAAGAAGGUCAAGUGGUGAAUAUUGGAGAGCUAGUAGUCUUUGCAACUGUUUUGAACAUGUUGAGUAAUGUUCUGAUAUCUAAAGAUAUGGUUAAUUUGGAGAAAGAAAUAGAAGAUGGUGGGAUUAGAAAUCUAAUAAGG